CAGAUGCAAUAAGAUGUAAAUUGGAGCUGGAAGUUCAGAUAAUAGAACAAGUGAUGGAGUUUAAAUACCUAGGCAUCACACUAUCUAGCUACGGAAGGCUCGAAACAGAAGUGGAAGAUCAAGUGAAUAGAGCAAACAGAGCCGCAGGUUGCCUGAAUGACACAAUAUGGAGAAAUUAAAAUAUCGGAAAAGAAAUGAAAGGCAGAAUUUACAAAAUAGUCAUCAGACCAAUAAUGACAUACGCGGCAGAAACACGACCCGACACAGAGAGGACAAAAAGAUUGCUCGAAACAGA